ensembl:miRNA dre-mir-2197 dre-mir-2197
AGUGUAAAAGGAAAACGUUGUGAUGAUUCGACUCAUAUGGUGCUAUGCAGUAAUAGAGGGCUGGAAGCAUUUUGCUUGAGGAGAGUCUAAUCACUAGCAGGUACACAUUG